UACGUAGGGUGCAGGCGUUAAUCGGAAUUACUGGGCGUAAAGCGUGCGCAGGCGGUUUGUUAAGUCUUGGUUGAAAUCCCCGGGCUUAACCUGGGAACUGCGCUUGUAACUGGCAAGCUAGAGUGUGGCAGAGGGGGGUGGAAUUCCACGUGUAGCAGUGAAAUGCGUAGAGAUGUGGAGGAACACCGAUGGCGAAGGCAGCCCCCUGGGCUAACACUGACGCUCAUGCACGAAAGCGUGGGGAGCAAACAGG
rnacentral:rRNA from 1 species